rnacentral:sRNA from 1 species
UGUGUUUACAAGACAACAAUACUUGCGUAAAAGUUUAAGCGUCUGUUUUACCAUCUCCGCAUCAGAGAUAUUCUCUUAACAAUGUGAGUUAUAUUCACAAAGAGACUUCAAGUCUUGAAGUUUUAGUAAUAACUAAUUAUAACUUAUUUUAUCUAAUAACACAUUCAUAUAAGAAUUGCUUUAUACAACUUUUAGAUCUUUAGUAGUCAAAGAUUGAACAUAAUCUUCUCGAUAUGUCACUUAUUAUCUAUUCAUUACUUCUCCUCCUCGAAAUGAUGAAACUUCAAGUUCAUCCAUCUCGUAUUGAAUUCCACUCUAGAAGCAAAUGUAUUUUAUAUCUCAUCAUAUUAACUUUGAGAUUUGGAGAACUAUACCGCAUCGAUGAUCUUAAUUUUGUAUUCCCAUAGAAAACAAUGUAUAUGCUCUUCUAGAGUCUUUUAAUAAGAUUUUAUACUACUUGAUAUACUAGAUUAUUUCAUCGUUAUAUUUAUUUUUUACUUUUGGUGAUAAUUUAAGUUCUUGAAAAAACUUUGACCAUCAAAAUUAUGAUGUCUUCUUAAGAUACAUUAAACUAGUCAUUCAUAAAAAUUUCUAUAAGUGAUUAUACCUUUAAAUUAAGUUAUUUAUCAAUCAAUUUAUUUCAUAAAAU